ensembl:lncRNA
AGCUGUUCUGAAGAAUCAAAUGUGAUUCUGCCAGCACAGUUCAGAAUUGUAGGGGUUGGAGGGGACCUCCAGAGAUGAUUGCAUCCAGCCCCCCUGCAAAGCCGGCCCUUACAGCAGACUGCACAGACUGCUGAGAAGAGGUUGGCCAUUUCUCCUUGACUUUGAAAUCAUGGGUGACUUGGAUUUGUGAUGUAGAACUCUGUGGAUCAGCGUCUAUGCUAUGAGGAUGACAAGAGAUGACUUUCAAGUGUCUUUCCUUACAGAUGUGAAUCUGAAGCACAGAGGAGAACAAAGUGGCCAACCUGUUUAUACUCAAUGCCCACUGAUGUGCUUUAGAGUGCCUAAAACACAAGUUUGUCAAGUAAUGUCAAAAACUGAAGAAACAUCCCAGUCUUUCUGGAGCAAAUGUUGGAAGCAAAACAAGGAACAGCCAUAGGGUGUGUAGUGAUGCUACGCUGCUGUCUUUGAGCAAUUAAAUGCUUCUUUGCAUUUUUUUUGUCAGUUUAUCUGUGGCUAGGAGGAAUUUUUUUGCAAAUUCAAGUAGUUUGGAAUUUUCCACGUUCUUUGGCAUUAUGCACAUAUCACAGGGCAGACGGCUGUUCAUCUUGGUAGAGCAGUUUCAUGUAGCAGAAAUUCUGACAAUCAAACAGGAGAAUUUCAGAUGUACAUCAGAACUUUUUUCCAUUACUUCGUAAAAGCAAACAAGGACGAAAUGAUGUCUGAGUUGCCAUACAAGCAUCCAGGGACAAUCCAAAAAUAAUUCAGCUGCUACACUGAGCAGAGCUUUCUGUAAUCCCAAUCCCCUGCCCUGCAAACAAAACAAACAAAAAAAGAAGUACCAUCUUGGAAUGUUAUGCAGCUGUAUUAAGAAGACCUGGCAGAUAUAUAUCAAGCUAAGUGAUAAAUGGCAUGUGUUCCUGCUUUCCUGGCCUCUGUCUGUUAAAUCAGUCUGCUUAAUACUUCAAAACCUGCAGGUUUCUGAAGACUUCUGAUGUUUGAAAUGGGAAGACACCUGGCAGCAAAACCUUUUCCCCAUAUUUUUUUUGUUCUUCUAAUGACUUGCCUUAUAAGCAAGAUAAAAUAUACUUGGUUUUGGACUUUCAUUUAAAAACUGGAGUUAAUUCAGAAGUUUAUUUUUGGUGCUUUGCAAGCUAAUAAAAUGUAUGUUUGAU